GGAGGAAAGUAGGGGAUCGUAAGACCUAGCGUUGAUGGAGCGGCCGAUAUCUGAUUAGCUAGUUGGUGGGGUAAGAGCCUACCAAGGCGACGAUCAGUAGCUGGUCUGAGAGGACGACCAGCCACACUGGAACUGAGACACGGUCCAGACUCCUACGGGAGGCAGCAGUGGGGAAUUUUGGACAAUGGGCGCAAGCCUGAUCCAGCCAUUCCGCGUGCAGGAUGAAGGCCCUCGGGUUGUAAACUGCUUCUGUACAGAACGAAAAGCUCUGGGUUAAUACCCCGGGGUCAUGACGGUACUGUAAGAAUAAGCACCGGCUAACUACGUGCCAGCAGCCGCGGUAAUACGUAGGGUGCGAGCGUUAAUCGGAAUUACUGGGCGUAAAGCGUGCGCAGGCGGCUUUGUAAGUCAGAUGUGAAAUCCCCGGGCUCAACCUGGGAACUGC
rnacentral:rRNA from 1 species